rnacentral:rRNA from 1 species
AUUGAACGCUGGCGGAAUGCUUUACACAUGCAAGUCGAACGGUAGAGGGGGCAACCCCUCGAGAGUGGCGAACGGGUGAGUAAUAUAUCGGAACGUGCCCAGUCGUGGGGGAUAACGUAGCGAAAGUUACGCUAAUACCACAUACGAUCUAAGGAUGAAAGCGGGGGAUCGCAAGACCUCGCGCGAUUGGAGCGGCCGAUAUCAGAUUAGGUAGUUGGUGGGGUAAAGGCUCACCAAGCCAACGAUCUGUAGCUGGUCUGAGAGGACGACCAGCCACACUGGAACUGAGACACGGUCCAGACUCCUACGGGAGGCAGCAGUGGGGAAUUUUGGACAAUGGACGCAAGUCUGAUCCAGCCAUUCCGCGUGCAGGAUGAAGGCCCUCGGGUUGUAAACUGCUUUUGUACGGAACGAAAAGGUCUCUCUUAAUACGGGGGACUCAUGACGGUACCGUAAGAAUAAGCACCGGCUAACUGCGUGCCAGCCGCCGCAGUAAAAC